rnacentral:rRNA from 1 species
GUGAGGAAUAUUGGUCAAUGGACGGAAGUCUGAACCAGCCAUGCCGCGUGCAGGAAUAAGGUCCUAUAGAUUGUAAACUGCUUUUAUUCGGGAAUAAACCUCUUUACGUGUAGGGAGCUGAAGGUACCGAAGGAAUAAGCACCGGCUAACUCCGUGCCAGCAGCCGCGGUAAUACGGAGGGUGCAAGCGUUAUCCGGAAUCAUUGGGUUUAAAGGGUCCGCAGGCGGGCUAUCAAGUCAGAGGUGAAAUCCCACAGCUUAACUGUGGAACUGCCUUUGAAACUGAUGGUCUUGAAUUAAGUGGGCGUUGGCGGAAUAUGACAUGUAGCGGUGAAAUGCAUAGAUAUGUCAUGGAACACCGAAAGCGAAGGCAGCUAACGAUACUUAUAUUGACGCUCAUGGACGAAAGCGUGGGUAGCGAACAGGAUUAGAUACCCUUGUAGUCC